CACUGACAUUAGAUACCCGGGUAGUCCCAGCCGUAAACUAUGCGCGUUAGGUGUACUGGUGACCACGAGUCACCGGGUGCCGAAGGGAAACCGUGAAACGUGCCGCCUGGGAAGUACGUCGCAAGGCUGAAACUUAAAGGAAUUGGCGGGGGAGCACCGCAACGGGAGGAGCGUGCGGUUUAAUUGGAUUCAACACCGUAAAACUCACCAGGGAAGACUGUUACAUGAAGGCCGAGAUGAAGACUCUGCUAGAUUUUCAG
rnacentral:rRNA from 1 species